GCCUUAUUACAGUAGCAGGUGGCAAGUCAACACUGUACAUUGUACCAGGAUCUCUUGAUACUUUACCACUUCCCUACCCUGCCAACGAGUUUGAAAACAUGAAUGGAAAUUUUCGACAAUUCCCAGAUAACUGGGUUCUGCCAUCAACCAGUACUGCCACCGACAUUGUGCUGAAAAACGCUCCAGAUCACACUUCUGUGACAACAGCCUGGCACUUUUUUGAGCAGUUUGACCCCAGUGACUUCUGUGGUGAAAGGUUUUCCCACGGAGCUUACGAUAUAACCAGGACCAACUUACUGCACGAUACUGAUGGAACGGAGCUACAGCCAAAACGAUUAAGGAGACAUAGAGAGAUUAAAAGCAUUACUGAUGUCAUCAAAAUCCUUGGUGAAAAUGUGGAUGAAACCAGCGACUUCAGCAUUUGCAUUAGCAGGGAUCAGAUGCUUGAGACGGGCCUGAAACAAUGGCAGCGACAGAAAAAAAUCUUCCCCCAAAAACACUCUCAGAGUUACUUUUGAGGGAGAGGAUGCAGCUGACAGUGACUCUCUAAGGAAGGAAUUUUUAACCAAAAUGGUGACAGAAAUAGAGAAGCACUUCUUUGAUGGAGGAGAAAAUGGCAAAACACCCAAGUAUUCAAUGACUGACAUGGAAAAAUACAACUUCAAGACUGUUGGGGAGAUAUUUGCUGUCAGCAUCGCACAAGGCGGGCCACCACCAAACUUUUUUACGGAGUGGUGUUAUAACUACAUAUCCACAGGAGAAACAAAUCUGGAAGUGAUAACUGAAAGCGAUGUCACAGACCCUGUACUCACGGAGCUAAUCAAAGAGAUUAAGGCCGCUGAUAACACAACCCUGAUGGAGUGCAGAGACAGGAUUUUGUUAUGCGGAUACAAAGGAGAAGUGUCCAUACAAAGAAAGGAAGACAUUGUGCGCUCUGUAGUCCUGCAUGAUAAAGUCAGGUUACUUCCCAUGCUGCAGCAAAUCUGCUCUGGAAUGAACCUGUUUGGGCUCCUCGCAUUGGUCCAGCAAGAAAAAGACAUCUGCAGACAGCUGUUUGUUCCAGCAUCUUUU